UACGUAGGGGGCAAGCGUUGUCCGGAUUUAUUGGGCGUAAAGAGCGUGUAGGCGGCUUGGUAGGUCUCGCGUCAAAACCUGAGGCUCAACCUCAGUUCGCGUGGGAAACCACCUAGCUAGAGUCCGGAAGAGGAGAACGGAAUUCCCAGCGUAGCGGUGAAAUGCGCAGAUAUUGGGAAGAACACCAGUGGCGAAGGCGGUUCUCUGGGACGGUACUGACGCUGAGACGCGAAAGCGUGGGGAGCGAACAGG
rnacentral:rRNA from 1 species